GUAGGUGGCAAGCGUUGUCCGGGAAUUAUUGGGGCGUAAAGCGCGCGCAGGCGGUUCUUUAAGUCUGAUGUGAAAGCCCACGGGCUCAACCGUGAGGGUCAUUGGAAACUGGAGAACUUGAGUACAGAAGAGGAAAGCGGAAUUCCACGUGUAGCGGUGAAAUGCGUAGAGAUGUGGAGGAACACCAGUGGCGAAGGCGGCUUUCUGGUCUGUAACUGACGCUGAGGCGCGAAAGCGUGGGGAGCAAACAGGAUUAGAUACCCUGGUAGUCCACGCCGUAAACGAUGAGUGCUAAGUGUUAGGGGGUUUCCGCCCCUUAGUGCUGCAGCUAACGCAUUAAGCACUCCGCCUGGGGAGUACGGCCGCAAAGGCUG
rnacentral:rRNA from 1 species